UACAGAGGUCCCAAGCGUUGUUCGGAUUCAUUGGGCGUAAAGGGUGUGUAGGCGGCGCGGUAAGUCGGGUGUGAAAUCUUGGAGCUUAACUCCGAAACUGCAUUCGAUACUGCCGUGCUUGAGGACUGGAGAGGAGACUGGAAUUUACGGUGUAGCGGUGAAAUGCGUAGAUAUCGUAAGGAAGACCAGUGGCGAAGGCGGGUCUCUGGACAGUUCCUGACGCUGAGGCACGAAGGCCAGGGGAGCAAACGGG
rnacentral:rRNA from 1 species